GUCAGGUCACCGUAGUCCUCCCUACAUUGUUUUUCUAUACGAAGUGAUUUCACUCAUUUUUGUUUGCUGCCUUAUUCCUGAAAUUAUUAAAGAUUACAUCCAUGAGAACAAGAAGACAAGGAAAAAAUAAUUCCUUGAACAACACUUCACAUUUUAGCAGGAAAAAACAGCAUCCGAAGAAAGUGAUUGUGAGUCCUAAGAGGAACACCAGAUGGAUAUUUCCUAUCAGAUCCAAAGGAAGAGAGAAAGAUGAUGAAAAAAGCCUGUAAUUCGGCAGAAAAGUCAAACAAUAAGCUAAAGAAGCCAUUGAGAGAAAUGAGGACACCUACCUCACUUGCAAGACCUGAAUUAAUGCUUCGUGGGAUUUAAACAAACAACAACAGAAAGAACACACCCAAAGUGACCUGUGUGGAAAGCGUUGUCCUCUGGCCAAAUACUGAUUUAAAAAAAAAAAAAAAAGCAAACAGAACAUUUAGGGGGAAACUUGAGAAUGUACUGGAGUUUAAUGAUGAUACAUCUCAACUUGCAGAAAGUGGAAGAGUGGAUUCAAAUGAUGAUAUACUCUGUAAAGUACGUGGGUAUGCUCUGUACAAUGACCACACAGUAGCUAUGUUAUUGGGCAAUGUACAUAACCUACUGGUGCCUUAAAAUCCUCAUAAAAUUGGGAUAAAGAGAGAUGCCUCAUAACGUUUUUGUUUA